rnacentral:tRNA from 1 species
UGCGAGCUGGUGCAAUAGGCAGCACAACCGUCUCUGCAACGGUCGAUGGAGGUUCGAGUCCUCCGCUCGCAG